UACAGAGGGUGCGAGCGUUAAUCGGAAUUACUGGGCGUAAAGCGCGCGCAGGCGGCCGCCCGCGCCCGCCGUGAAAGCCCCCGGCUCAACCGGGGAGGGUCGGCGGGGACGGGGCGGCUUGAGGACGGCAGGGGCCGGUGGAAUCCCCGGUGUAGUGGUGAAAUGCGUAGAGAUCGGGGGGAACACCCGUGGCGAAGGCGGCCGGCUGGGCCGUUCCUGACGCUGAGGCGCGAAGGCGUGGGGAGCGAACGGG
rnacentral:rRNA from 1 species